CCAGCAGCCGCGGUAAUUCCAGCUCCAAUAGCGUAUAUUAAAGUUGUUGCAGUUAAAAAGCUCGUAGUUGAAUUUCUGGGCCGGGCGCCGGUCCACCCUUUGUGGUGCGCACUUGGUUGCCUGGUUCAUUUUUGUGGGGUGCUGCCUGGCCUUGAUUGGUUCGGGUGGUACAAUAGCCCCGCAUCGAUUACUGUGAACAAAUUAGAGUGUUUAAGGCGGGCGUUGGCUUGAAUACAUUAGCAUGGAAUAAUGACAUAGGACUUUGGUGUCUAUGUGUUGGUUGAGGACCAAGGUAAUGAUUAAUAGGGAUAGUUGGGGGUAUUCAUAUUUGAUUGUCAGAGGUG
rnacentral:rRNA from 1 species